CAAACAACUGACUGUCUCUUAUGCCGUCGAGAGAAACCUGGCGCUGGCCUCAGACCCCAGGUAUGAAAUGGUUGAAGUCGAAGAUGACUCUGGCGGUCGUCGUGCGAAGCAGAGCCUGGCCUCUCCACCGACAGGUGGCAACAGUAAGAAAACGAAGCACAAAAACAAGUGUGUUGGAUUAGUUUAGUCUUAAAGACCUCCAUUGAUCCACAUGGAACUCGCACCAUUCUGCUUCUUGGACUAAGAUGCAACAUUGAAACAAUACAUUUGCGAAAUGUGA